GGAGUUAUAGCUCAGUGGUAGAGUGCUUACCUAGCAUGUGUGAGACACUGAGUUCGAUCCUUAGCACCA
rnacentral:tRNA from 1 species